GCGCCCAUGAGGUAACGGCAACCUACUGCUUUGCCAGGGCGGAACUGCGGGUUCAAUUCCCGCUGGGCGCU
rnacentral:tRNA from 1 species